rnacentral:rRNA from 1 species
UACGAAGGGGGCUAGCGUUGCUCGGAAUGACUGGGCGUAAAGGGCGCGUAGGCGGUUUGGACAGUCAGAUGUGAAAUUCCUGGGCUCAACCUGGGGGCUGCAUUUGAUACGUUCGGACUAGAGUGGGGAAGAGGGUCGUGGAAUUCCCAGUGUAGAGGUGAAAUUCGUAGAUAUCGGGAGGAACACCAGUGGCGAAGGCGGCGAUCUGGGUGGAUACUGACGCUGAGGUGCGAAAGCGUGGGGAGCAAACAGG